rnacentral:misc_RNA from 1 species
CUUGUUUGGCUUGGUGCAGAUCAUGACAUGUUUUUGUAUUUUUGGUGCAGGUUCUUCAGCCAUGGAUUCAGAAGAGAAGAAUUGCAUACGCCAAGCAUAAACAUAUAAUAUCAGGAAUUCUAAAAGAUUUAAAAAUGCGCGCACUGGGAAGACUUUUCACAGUUAAUGGUGAACCUAACAAUGAUGUUAUACAGAAGUUAUUCAAGACAAUUGAUGGAAAUUCUGAUGGAUAUCUAACCACAGCAGAGUUGAGGGCACUCAUAAUAGGAAUCCAGUUUGAAGAGCUAGAAAUUGAUAUUAAUGAUGCAGUUGAUCAAGUAUUGAAAGAUUUCGAUACGUCUGGUGACUCACUUGUUUUUGUUCAUGGGAUCUCAAAGUGGCUUGAUGAGGC